CUCCAAAACUAGAGAUAACAACUCCUGAACAUCAAGCAGUUUAGAAAUCAAGCAACACCAGCAGCGAAUGCUGGAAAUUCUCUGUAAAAGAAAGGGAGCUUUUUCUGUGAAGCUACAGCAAAUUCCACGAGGUGCCCUGCAGCUCAAGAACAAAGGCAACAAAGAAGCAAGGCAGGAAAGCUCCAGGCAACGCAGAUAAGAUCUCCGACAAACAGGAACAGCUGAUAUGCGGGAAACAAACGUGGGGGCUAGCUGGCGAAAAGAGGGUGAGCCCCCUCUGCGCCGGCCCUAAAUAGGGCAGACACGGCCGGGAUUCCCCUGCUCUCGCGGGGGCUGAAACCAGCCCCCGCUCACGUGGGGGGUGGGCGUGAAGCCCGCAACCCCACCUCCUGGGCAGGCCGGAAGUAGCUUUGUGCUUAUUUCAAUUCGCAUGGGGUUUUAUGGGUGUGCACCAGAAUGACCCCCAGCCAAAGCAAAAAGGUCUUUUGGGUUCCAGCUACAUAAAAAGAAGAUGAUAAAGCUCUGAUUGGGCUUAUUUCAAAUUGGUGUUUUUGGGUUUAGAAUGCACAUUCACACAAAAAUCGCAGAGUGACAUGUUUAUUAUCAGACCAAACCAAGCAUAAGUGUUUUGGUUCCAUCUCAAUAGAAAGAGGACGAAUAAAGUUGCAUUGUUCUUUUGGUGUUCAGUCCCCCACCAAUAGCAAAGCAAACUGUAAUAAGCCUAAACAAAGCCAAACAGGUUGUUUUCGGGUGCAGCAACAUAGAAAGAAGAAUCUUGCAUUUUGCUUAUUUCGUGUUCUUUGGUGUUAAUGCACAUUGACCCAGAAAUCUCAAAGUGUGUGUAAUGAGACCAAAAUAACACAACACUGUCUUUUCACUUCCAUACGCGUAGAAAUACACUGGUGCCCCGCAAGACGAACGCCUCGCAAGACGAAAAACUCGCAAGACGAAAGGUUUUUUCGUUUUCGAGUUGCUUCACAAGAUGAAUGUCCCUAUGGGCUUGCUUCGCAAGACGAAAACGUCUUGCAAGUUUGUUUCCUUUUCGUAAAACCGUUAAAACCCAGGGUGCAUUGCUGGAAGAGGUGCAGUUGCGACUUGACCUCGAGGAGCAACACAUUGCACGCAGUGUGGUGGCCUUUCUGAGCUUUUUAAAGAGUUUGCUGGAUUUUUGAAGCUUUUCCAAAACUUCUUCUGCAGCUGUUUGGUAAGUUAAACUUUUAAAACUUUUUUUGGGUUUUUUGGAUUUUCGGUUGGGGUGUUUAGAAUUCAAGGACUUGGUUUUGGGGAGGUGUUUGCAAGAAUCUGGGAGCUUGUGUGGGGUUUUUUUUGAAUUUUUAUGAUUUUUUGUGACCAUUGGGCCAUGUUGUUUUUUUGUGAAAAAAAUUUCUGGGUUUUAAAUUUCUGUGUGCUGGGUGGAUGGGGGAACAGCUGGAGAGGGGUUUGCAAGAAUCUGGGAGCUUGUGUGCUUUUUUUUGAAUUUUUAUGAUUUUUGUGACCAUUGGGCCAUGUUGUUGUUUUUGAAAAAAAUUUCUGGGUUUUAAAUUUCUGUGUGCUGGGUGGAUGGGGAACAGCUGGGGAGGUGUUUGCAGGAAUCUGGGAGCGUGUGUGCUUUUUUUGACUUUUUAUGAUUUUUUGUGCCCAUUGGGCCAUGUUGUUGUUUUUUGACAAAGUUUCUGGGUUUUAAAUUUCUGUGUGCUGGGUGGAUGGGGAACAGCUGGGGAGGGGUUUGCAAGAAUCUGGGAGCUUGUGUGCUUUUUUUUGAAUUUUUAUGAUUUUUUGUGACCAUUGGGCCAUGUUGUUUUUUUUGAAAAAAAUUUCUGGGUUUUAAAUUUCUGUGUGCUGGGUGGAUGGGGGAACAGGGGGGGAGGUGUUUGAAUGAUUGUGGGUUGUUGUGUGGUUUUUUUUGAAUUUUUAUGUUUUUUUUGUGACCAUUGGGCCAUGUUGUUUUUUUUUGAAAAAAAUUUCUGGGUUUUAAAUUUCUGUGUGCUGGGUGGAUGGGGGAACAGCUGGGGAGGGGUUGGCAGGAAUCUGGGAGCUUGUGUGCUUUUUUUGAAUUUUUAUGGUUGUGUGUGCCCAUUGGGCCAUGUUGUUGUUUUUUUGAAAAAAAUUUCUGGGUUUUAAAUUUCUGUGUGCUGGGUGGAUGGGGGAACAGCUGGGGAGGGGUUUGCAAGAAUCUGGGAGCUUGUGUGCUUUUUUUUUGAAUUUUUAUGGUUUUUUGUGACCAUUGGGCCAGGUGUUUUUUUUUUGAAAAAAUUUCUGGGUUUUAAAUUUCUGUGUGCUGGGUGGAUGGGGGAACAGCUGGGGAGGGGUUUGCUCGAAUCUGGGUGCUUGUGUGCUUUUUUUGAAUUUUUAUGAUUUUCUGUAACCAUUGGGCCAUGUUGUUUUUUUUUGAAAAAUUUUCUGGGUUUUGAAUUUCUGUGUGCUGGGUGGCUGGGGGAACAGCUGGGGAGGGGUUUGCAGGAAUCUGGGAGCUUGUGUGCUUUUUUUUGAAUUUUUAUGAUUUUCUGUAACCAUUGGGCCAUGUUGUUUUUUUUUGAAAAAUUUUCUGGGUUUUGAAUUUCUGUGUGCUGGGUGGCUGGGGGACCAGCUGGGGAGGGGUUUGCAGGAAUCUGGGAGCUUGUGUGCUGUUUUUGAAUUUUUAUGGUUUUCUGUAACCAUUGGGCCAUGUUGUUGUUUUUUGAAAAAAUUUUCUGGGUUUUGAAUUUCUGUGUGCUGGGUGGCUGGGGGAACAGCUGGGGAGGGGUUUGCAGGAAUCUGGGAGCUUGUGUGCUUUUUUUUGAAUUUUUAUGGUUUUCUGUAACCAUUGGGCCAUGUUGUUGUUUUUUUGAAAAAAUUUUCUGGGUUUUGAAUUUCUGUGUGCUGGGUGGCUGGGGGAACAGCUGGGGAGGGGUUUGCAGGAAUCUGGGAGCUUGUGUGCUUUUUUUUGAAUUUUUAUGGUUUUCUGUAACCAUUGGGCCAUGUUGUUGUUUUUUUGAAAAAAAUUUCUGGGUUUUGAAUUUCUGUGUGCUGGGUGGCUGGGGGAACAGCUGGGGAGGGGUUUGCAACAGUUGGGGAGGGGUUUGCAACAGUUGGGGAGGGGCUGGGGGAACAGUUGAGGUUUUUGAAGACUUUGGUGAUUUUUAAAGCUUUCCCAAAACUUCUUUUGCAGCCAUUUGAGGAUUUUGAAGACUUUGGUGAUUUGCAGCCAUUUCGUAAGUUAAACUUUUAAAACUUUUUUGGGGUUUUUGGAUUUUGGGUUGGGUGUUUGGAAUUCAAGGACUUGGUUGUGGGUUUGAAUUGCUGAUUUUUCUUUUCUUUUUCUGAGUUUACAAAGGUAACAGCUGUGCUGCCAUGGGACCCAAGAAGGCUGCUGCUGCGGAGGCCGGCGAGAGGAAGAAGGAGAAGGUGACGCUGGAGAUGAAGAAGGAGAUCAUCCGGAAGCACGAUGGUGGAAUGCGUGUGACGGACCUCGCCAGGGAGUACGGCAGGAACCCAUCGACCAUCGGGACCAUCCUGAAGAUGAGAGAGAAGAUCCUUGCGACUGAUGCAGCCAAGGGAGUCACCAGGAUCGUGAAGAACCGCCCAGCUGUUCUGGAGGAGGUCGAGAAGUUGCUGCUCAUCUGGUUAGAAGAGAAGCAGCGUGCAGGGGACACAGUGACUGAGGCCAUGAUUUGUGAGAAGGCCGAGGCCUUGCACGCAGACCUCAUCCGGGAACAGCCAGGAACCUCGGCCGAGCCAGAAGUCUUCAAGGCAAGCAGAGGCUGGUUUGACCGGUUCAAGGCAAGAUCCGGAAUCCACAGCGUGGUCAGGCAUGGAGAGGCUGCCAGUUCUGAUGUUCCUGCGGCUGAAGACUUUGCCUUGGAGUUCCUGGAGGUUGUGAAGACGGAGGGCUACGUUCCACAGCAGGUCUUCAACUGCGACGAGACCGGGCUGUUUUGGAAGAGGAUGCCCAAAAGGACUUUCCUCACACAGGAGGAGGCCAAGUUGCCUGGCCACAAGCCCAUGAAGGACCGUCUGACCCUGCUCUUCUGUGCCAACGCAAGCGGCGACCUGAAGAUCAAGCCCCUGCUGGUGUACCACUCGGAGAACCCACGGGCCUUCAAGAAACACAAGGUCGACAAGGAGCGGCUGAGUGUCAUGUGGCAAUCCAACAGCAAGGCUUGGGUCACACGUGUGCUGUUUGUGGACUGGGUCAAUCUUGCCUUUGGCCCUGCUGUCAAACAGUACCUGCUGGACAACGACCUGCCGCUGAAGGCUUUGCUUCUGAUGGACAAUGCUCCUGCUCAUCCUAAAGGCCUUGAGGUGGACUUGUUGGAGGAGUUCAGCUUCAUCAACAUCAUGUUCCUGCCGCCUAACACCACGCCACUGCUCCAGCCGAUGGAUCAGCAGGUCAUCGCCAAUUUCAAGAAACUCUACACCAAGGAGCUUUUCAGGCGAUGCUUCGAGGUGACUGAUUGCACCACCAUCACCCUGCGGGAAUUCUGGAAGGACCACUUCGACAUCGUCACCUGCUUGAAGAUGAUCACCACGGCCUGGAAGGGGAUCAGCCAGAGGAAUUUGAAUUGCGCUUGGCGCAGCCUGUGGCCGGACUGUGUGGCACCAAGUGACUCUGAUGCACCAGAGUCGACAGUGGUGCAGGACAUUGUUGCCUUGGGGAGGACCAUGGGCCUGGAGGUCACAGAGGAGGACGUCUGCGAGCUGGUGGAGGAGCACGACCACGACCAGGAGCACGACCAGGAGCUGGUUGAACUGCAGUCAGAGGUUGCGCAGGAGCAGGCCUCGCUGGAAGAGGAGGAAGCAACUGAGGAACGGCUGUCCUCCAAAGAACUGAGGGACAUUUGCCAGAAGUGGAAUGAGGUGCAGGCUUUUGCAGAGCGGCACCACCCUGACAAGCACGUGGCACAUGACCAAGCAAACAUUUUUGAUACGACGGUCAUGUCGCCUCUCAGGGAGCUGCUGAAAAGGCGGAUGAAGCAGCAGACCAUGGACAGGUUCCUCAGCAAGAAGCAAAGAGUGGAAGAGGAACCUUCUUCGAGUGGUCCCCCAGAGUCUUAGAAAAUGUAAUGUACCCUUUUUUGAUUUUUAAAUGUUUUUCCUGUCAUGUUUAGAAACUUAAUUUAUUGUUCCUUCAAUUUUUGAUAUUGUCAGGGGUUCAGAGAGAGAGGCACAGGGUAGGCAGGAGAUGGAGAGCGAAGGGGAGGAAUUCCAAGCCAGCGAGGAAGAGGACGACAAUGACUCAAGGGAUUCCAUGAGUCUUUCCAGCGAAUCAGAGGAUUCCCAGAAGGGGGCGCUGGUGGUCAGGGCCAGGGGAGCCCCAGGGGGGAAAUGUCAGGAGCAGGGUGCCAGCGGAGGAUCCCAAAGUGGCAGCUGGGCGUCAGGACCAGCCUCCCCACCAAAGUGCAGCGAAGGGUGUGGAGUUUCCAGUGUGUCAGAGGAAGGAGCUCCAGCAGCAGAGAGAGGAGGGGGUCAGAGCAAGCAGCCCUCCCGGAAGGGGAGGGAGCAGUGAAGGGAGCAGUGUAACUGUCAAAAGGAAAGUUAGAGGUUUGGCGCGCGCGCCUAGUUCAAAUGUAGAGGCGCGCGGAAGUGCAGGGAGCCCGGAGGAGGGGCCAGGUCCCAAAGCCCGCAGGAGGGGGAGCAGCAGUCUGAUUCCGCGUCAGAGGAAUCCAGAAGGGGCAAACCCCAGGGGGCAGAAAGACCCUGCGGAAAAGGAAGGAGAGAAAGAGGUGGAGCAGCGCAAGUCUCUUAAAUUGGUGCAGAGGAGGGACUGACUCAGACGGGACUUCGGCGGUCUAGCGUAAGAGACGUAAGGCUGCGCGCCUAAGAUGUCAAGCAAACCAUGAACUGCAAUAAACACCUUUGUAUUCAAGAAGACGUAGGCGUUGGUCUUUUGUGAGCUAAGACUUGAGGCAGCCUUGACAGAUAUGCUCUUUAAAGUAUGUGUGACUUUAAAGAGCAGUUAACAAACUCUUGUUGUACCAAAUUUGGCUAUGAUUGGACUUUUUUUGACCAUAGGAACGCAUUAAUUGAAUUUCAAUGCAUUCCUAUGGGAAACCGUGCUUCGCAAGACGAAAAAUUCGCUAGACGAAAAAACUCGCGGAACGAAUUAAUUUCAUCUUGCGAGGCACCACUGUAAGACAAAUCAGCUUUGAUUUUGCUUAUUUCAAUUCGCGUGGUGUUUUUUAGGUGUGCACCAGAAUCACCCCCAACGAAAACAAAAAGGUCUUUUGGGUUCCAUCUACAUAAAAAGAAGAUGAUAAAGCUCUGAUUGGGCUUAUUUCAAAUUGGUGUUUUUGGGGUUAGAAUGCACAUUCACCCAAAAAUAGCAGAGUGACAUGUUUAUUAUCAGCCCAAACCAAGCAUAGGUGUUUAGGUUCCAUCUCAAUAGAAAGAGGACGAAUAAGCUUGCAUUGUUCUUUUGGUGUUCAGUCCCCCACAAAUAGCAAAGCAACGUCUAAUAAGCCUAAACAAAGCCCAACAGGUUGUUUUGGGUUGCAGCAACAUAGAAAGAAGAAUCUUGGAUUUUGCUUAUUUCGUGUUCUUUGGUGUUAAUGCACAUUGACCCAGAAAUCUCACAAUGUGUGUAAUGAGACCAAAAUAGCACAACACUGUCUUCUCGCUUCCAUGCGCGUAGAAAUAAGACAAAUAAGCUUUGAGUGUGCUUAUUUCAAUUCGCGUGGUGUUUUUUAGGUGUGCACCAGAAUCACCCCCAACGAAAACAAAAAGGUCUUUUGGGUUCCAUCUACAUAAAAAGAAGAUGAUAAAGCUCUGAUUGGGCUCAUUUCAAAUUGGUGUUUUUGGGGUUAGAAUGCACAUUCACCCAAAAACCGCAGAGUGACAUGUUUGUUAUCAGCCCAAACCAAGCAUAGGUGCUUUGGUUCCAUCUCAAUAGAAAGUGGACGAAUAAGCUUGUAUUGUUCUUUCGGUGUUCAUUCACGAACAAUUAGCAAAGCAAAUUGUAAUAAGCCUAAACAAAGCUAAAUAGGUUCUUUUGGGUUCCAGCUACAUAGAACGAAGAAUCUUUGAUUACGCUUAAUUCGUCGUGUUCUUUGGUGUUAAUGCACAUUGACCCAGAAAUCGCAAAGUGUGUGUAAUGAGACCAAAAUAACACAACAUUGUCUUUUCGCUUCCAUAUGCGUAGAAAGAAGACAAAUAAGCUUUGAUUGUGCUUAUUUCAGUUCGCAUGGGGUUUUAUGGGUGUGCACCAGAAUCACCACCAACCAAAGCAAAAAGGUCUUUUGGGUUCCAUCUACAUAAAAAGAAGAUGAUAAAGCUCUCAUUGGGCUUAUUUCAAAUUGGUGUUUUUGGGGUUAGAAGGCACAUUCACCCAAAAAUCGCAGAGUGACAUGUUUGUUAUCAGCCCAAACCAAGCAUAGGUGUUUUGGUUCCUUCUCAAUAGAAAGAGGACAAAUAAGCUUGCAUUGUUCUUUCGGUGUUCAAUCCCCACAAAUAGAAAUGCGAAGUGUAAUAAGCCUAAACAAAGCCAAACAGGUUCUUUUGGGUUCCAGCUACAUAGAACGAAGAAUCUUGGAUUUCGCGUAUUUCAAGUCAUGUUCUUUGGUGUUAAUGCACAUUGACCCAGAAAUCGCAAAGUGUGUGUAAUGAGACCAAAAUAACACAACAUUGUCUUUUCGCUUCCAUAUGCGUAGAAAGAAGACAAAUAAGCUUUGAUUGUGCUUAUUUCAAUUCGCAUGGGGUUUUAUACCCAGGGUGCACCAGAAUCACCCCCAACCAAAGCAAAAAGGUCUUUUGGGUUCCAUCUACAUAAAAAGAAAAUUAUAAAGCUCUGAUUGGGCUCAUUUCAAAUUGGUGUUUUUGGGGUUAGAAGGCACAUUCACCCAAAAAUCGCAGAGUGACAUGUUUGUUAUCAGCCCAAACCAAGCAUAGGUGCUUUGGUUCCAUCUCAAUAGAAAGUGGACGAAUAAGCUUGUAUUGUUUUUUCGGUGUUCAUUCACGCACAAUUAGCAAAGCGAAUUGUAAUAAGCCUAAACAAAGCUAAAUAGGUUCUUUUGGGUUCCAGCUACAUAGAACGAAGAAUCUUUGAUUUCGCUUAAUUCGUCGUGUUCUUUGGUGUUAAUGCACGUUGAUCCAGAAAUCUCAAUGUGUGUGUAAUGAGACCAAAAUAACACAGCAUUGUCUUUUCGCUUCCAUAUGCGACAAAUAAGCUUUGAUUGCGUGGCGAGUUCCUGCCCCCCACCAGGAUAAAUAAAGACACGAGACACCAUGGUUUAAGGUUAAAUGGGCGAAUUAGGCCACAACUUUAUUGAAUUCAGGAAUGAGGGGCAUUGGCCCUAACGACUAUCCGGCUCCAGCCCAUUUGCUGGAGACACGGGGAAGGGUUAACACUAUAUCGGGGGAGUCUCCUGCCGAGGCACGUCGACUAGGAGCUCCCCCGGGUCACCGCUCGGGGGCGUGCCUUUGGCCCACACCUCCAUAGGCUUCGGACAGGGCCACGCUCCCCGGAGUCCUUUAACGGACCACCCUUCGCUCACUGGGGGGAGGUGAUGGCAUUCCUCCCCCCGCACACAUCCUCUUAACCCCUUCUUACCAAUGCCUACCGCCAAUGCCGAAGAGUUGUGACAAGUUGCUACGAGGUAGGCAAAAAACCAAAUGGCUGUAAAUUGCCCAUUGGGAAAAAUUCCUACCAUGCCCCAUGCGGCGACAGACCGAAGUCCAUAGCAAAGUCAGAGACCUACCUAAAGCCUAACUAAAGGGAGGGAGGGCGGGAAAACGUGGGGGCUAGCUGGCGAAAAGAGGGUGAGCCCCCUCUGCGCCGGCCCUAAAUAGGGCAGACACGGCCGGGAUUCCCCUGGGCAGGCCGGAAGUGGCUUUGCGUGGCGAGUUCCCGCCCCCCACCAGGAUAAAUAAAGACACGAGACACCAGGACUUCCGGCGAGGCAGCAUGGCGGCUGCAACAGCAGAAAAGAGCUCCUGAAGCCAGCCAGAGUAAAAGGCUCUGUCUGGCCGAUUCCCGGACCCCCAGGACUGCUGCCGCCAGCACUGCCAGCGGAGAGGAAUCGGGGGUGCCUGGGGCGCCUAUCAAAGGAGCCAAAACACCCCCCCACGACCUUGAUUGAGCCGGAAAGGCACCCGACCACCCCCCCAACAGCCGAGAGGAGCUCCAAAACCAGGAGGACAGUGGAGCUAACGCAAAGAGGGCGAAAAAAAGGGGGAGAGAGGAAGAAAAAGAAAGAAAAAGGAACCCCAACUUUACCACUGCUGCCCCCAUCUCUGCCGACG